rnacentral:rRNA from 1 species
CAGUCGCCGCGGUAAUACGUAGGUGGCAAGCGUUGUCCGGAAUUAUCGGGCGUAAGGGCUCGCAGGCGGUUUCUUAAGUCUGAUGUGGAAGCCCCCGGCUCAACCGGGGAGGGUCAUUGGAAACUGGGAAACUUGAGUGCAGAAGAGGAGAGUGGAAUUCCACGUGUAGCGGUGAAAUGCGUAGAGAUGUGGAGGAACACCAGUGGCGAAGGCGGCUCACUGGCUCAUUCUAGACGCUGAGGUGCGAAAGCGUGGGGAGCAAACAGGAUUAGAUACCCGCGUAGUCCCUGUCUCUUAUACA